AGAAGGUGUAGAUCUAGAGGAUACAAUUGUGAGUUCUAAAAGAUUUUGGGACGGUAUCAAUUUUUUCGCAGUAUGCCUUUUAUUUUCCAUGCGUGUAAAUAUUGAAAAAAAAGAAAAAAAAAGAAGAAAAAAAGAAAAAAAAAGAGAAAAAAGAAAAAAAGAAGAAAAAGAAAAAAAAAUCAAAUCAGUUAGGUUUCAUCUCAUCAGGGCGAACUACGUCGACCUGAUCUCCCUGAUACCCGGGAGUACGUAGGCAACCAUAUUCAAUAUGGC
rnacentral:lncRNA from 1 species